rnacentral:rRNA from 1 species
AUACGUAGGGGGCGAGCGUUGUCCGGAAUGAUUGGGCGUAAAGGGCGCGUAGGCGGCCCGGUAAGUCUGGAGUGAAAGUCCUGUUUUUAAGAUGGGAAUUGCUUUGGAUACUGUCGGGCUUGAGUGCAGGAGAGGUAAGUGGAAUUCCCAGUGUAGCGGUGAAAUGCGUAGAGAUUGGGAGGAACACCAGUGGCGAAGGCGACUUACUGGACUGUAACUGACGCUGAGGCGCGAAAGUGUGGGGAGCAAACAGGAUUAGAUACCCUGGUAGUCCACACUGUAAACGAUGAAUGCUAGGUGUAAGAGGUAUCGACCCCUUUUGUGCCGGAGUUAACACAAUAAGCAUUCCGCCUGGGGAGUACGGCCGCAAGGUUGAAACUUAAAGGAAUUGACGGGG